rnacentral:lncRNA from 1 species
CGUGCUCGCAGAUUUGAGACCCGCCGCACUCCUUGCAGUAUCUGCGCUGACGACCAUGCUCGCAGACUGAUGCACCACCGCACUCCUUGCACCUAGAGCGCUGACGGCCGUGCUUGCAGACUCCAACCCCACCGCACUCCUUGCAGUAAGUGCGCCGACGACCGUGCUCGCAGAUUGAUGCACCACCGCACUCCUUGCAGUAACGACGCUCACGACCGUGCUCGCAGAUUUGAGACCCACCGCACUCCUUGCACGUAGUGCGCCUCUUCCCGUGCGGACAAGCGCUGCACACCUUGCAUUGAUAGCGCAACUUCCCGUGGGGACAAGCGCUGCACACCUUGCAUUGCGACCGAUACUUCACCCCGUGCUCGCAUG